UGGGGAAUUUUGGACAAUGGGCGCAAGCCUGAUCCAGCAAUGCCGCGUGCAGGAUGAAGGCCUUCGGGUUGUAAACUGCUUUUGUCAGGGAAGAAACGAGUUUCUCUAAUACAGAGACUUAAUGACGGUACCUGAAGAAUAAGCACCGGCUAACUACGUGCCAGCAGCCGCGGUAAUACGUAGGGUGCAAGCGUUAAUCGGAAUUACUGGGCGUAAAGCGUGCGCAGGCGGUUAUGCAAGACAGAUGUGAAAUCCCCGGGCUCAACCUGGGACCUGCAUUUGUGACUGUAUAGCUAGAGUACGGUAGAGAGGGAUGGAAUUCCGCGUGUAGCAGUGAAAUGCGUAGAUAUGCGGAGGAACACCGAUGGCGAAGGCAAUCCCCUGGACCUGUACUGACGCUCAUGCACGAAAGCGUGGGGAGCAAACA
rnacentral:rRNA from 1 species